rnacentral:rRNA from 1 species
GGUAGUCCACGCUGUAAACGAUGAGUGCUAGGUGUUGGGUAGCGAUAUUCAGUGCCGAAGUUAACACAAUAAGCACUCCGCCGUGGGAGUACGGUCGCAAGACUGAAACUCAAAGGAAUUGACGGGACCCGCACAAGCAGCGGAGCAUGUGGUUUAAUUCGAAGCAACGCGAAGAACCUUACCAAGGCUUGACAUCCCCUUGACCAGUGCAGAGAUGUACUCUCUCCUUCGGGAGCAAGGGAGACAGGUGGUGCAUGGUUGUCGUCAGCUCGUGUCGUGAGAUGUUGGGUUAAGUCCCGCAACGAGCGCAACCCUUAUCAUUAGUUGCCAGCAUUUAAGGUGGGCACUCUAAUGAGACUGCCGAUGAUAAAUCGGAGGAAGGUGGGGAUGACGUCAAAUCAUCAUGCCCCUUAUGUCUUGGGCUACACACGUGCUACAAUGGUCGGUACAAAGGGAAGCGAAGGAGUGAUUCGGAGCAAAUCCUAAUAAACCGAUCUCAGUUCGGAUUGUAGGCUGCAACUCGCCUACAUGAAGUCGGAGUUGCUAGUAAUCGCGAAUCAGAACGUCGCGGUGAAUGCGUUCCCGGGUCUUGUACACACCGCCCGUCA